AUUUCUGUCAUUUUAAACCACUGACUUUGUGGUCAUUCAUUAUGGAAGCCAUGGGACACUAAUACACUCAUUAAGAAAAUAUGACCUAUCAGCAGACAAUUUCUGUAUUACUAAAACACCCCAACUCUUGUCACAGAAACACACAGGUUUUGGAGUCAGAGAGACCUGGGUUUGAAUCUCACCUCUACCACCUUUCAACAGAAUGUCCUUGGGCAAGCUGUAUAGCCUCACAGCCUCUUCUUGCCUAAAGAAAGGAGAAUGUAAGACCAUCCUUCCCAGGGGGUUCUGGAGAGCAGAUGUGGUGAGGCCCAGAGUCUGGUUUAUGGCAGGCUUUGAUGAAACGCUGGUAUACAGCUGGCAUGCAAGAAAUGCUGGCUUUCUUCACCCUCCCUCUCAACUUCCUCUUCUCUUCCCCCCUUCACAAAAUGCUCUGGUGGUUCUUCCUAGAGAUCUAUAAAAUCACAUCCAAACUUUGUAACAAACGUAGAAGACCGUUCACAUUUUGCCCACCACUCACCCAUUUUCCUUUUGAAUCAAAUUUCCAUCAAUUUUCCUCUAAAAACCUGUACUUUAGGUACUUCCUUAUCCCAGAACCAGCCUUCUACAUACUAAUCCUAAAUCUUUAGCCCUGCUCCCCACCCAUGCCCAUUCGACACCCCCUGCACCUCCCUCGAGCAUCCUUACUGCGUCAUGUCUGUUUCUGUUAGGCCACUGAGCCAUCCAGAUUCAGCCACAGAGCACCAGGAUUAGGAUGAUAAAAUGAUCUGUUUUCAGGGUCCUUGAUCCCUUCACUCCUUCUUAUGCCUUCCUUUCCUAUCCCCUGACUUGCUUUUCCCCAGUAUUAACUAGCUCCCAACACCCUCCCUCUCCACUCCCCACAACUCAUUCACACUGUGGUAUAAAACAAUGGCAACAGCCUAAAAUAUUGCCUUCCAAAGAGGACUCAAAAUCCUAAACCUAAAUAAUGAAUUGAAUGCAUCAUCAAACUUGGAAACACAGGGCCUUUCCAAUGGCACCCAGCCAUCCUGCCGUCCAGGUGUGUUUGCCCUUAGGCAGGUGAGGCAGCCCUCCCCCACCAACCAACCAGUCCCAUUGUUGCUGCCUGGCUUUUAUCUGCCUGACUCUGAGAUUUGAACACCACUGGGUCUUGUCUCCCUGACUCCUGGUCUCCUUCCCCACCCAGCCUUCUUCCUCAUGUUUCUUCCUGCUACUUCAUGUUCUAAUUGCUCUCGGGAGUGGGGGACCGGGGAUCAUCCAUCUUGCUCACUGGGUAUUCAAUUAGAGCCGACUCAGCGCCCAUCUUCUUCCCUCCGCCCUCCCUCCCUCCCCCAGAUGUCGCCCUUCAGGAAGCAAUAUAUAACACCCUCCUUCGACGGCAGCCUGCUGGCCACCCGCCAUUUCCAGGCUGAGUCCCCAUUAACUACGCCAAGGCAAAUGAAUAAAUAAAUCUCUAAGGAGGGAAAGAAAGAGGAAGAAGUGCCGGUUCAGAGCUAAUGAAGGUCACCUCCCAGCCAGGCCUCCCAUUCCCCCUUCUAUGAAUUGGAGCCCAGGACUGAGGAGGCAGCUUCCUCCUCAGACAAGAAUCCUGCACGUGUCUGUUAGCCUGUGAAUGUGUGUCCUGGGUCAGUUCCAGGAACACACCAUAUUAUCACAGCUUUACUGUUAACUGCUUAGCUUAAUUUGUUCUGCACACGUAAUGACAGCUUAGGAGCAGAAAGGUACCGUGGUUCCUGUUGAGACAGACAAUGCCUACUCAGAUGACCAGUAAAAUAAUGUGCAGUAUUGGUGGGGCACUGAAUCAGUGGUCACUGAGGGCUUCAUAGAUGCGGCAGUAUUACCAUCGUGUCAGGGAUGGGAAAACUGUCUCACCAAGAUCUGAGAUGAUGGUGGAGCUCGAUCUACUCAUUCCUAUUUGAAUUUUCAUUUAUUGACAAUAUUUCCCAGAAAAGGGGACAUACACAGCUGGGAAUGUUUGGCUUUGUGCCAGAAGGUGCAUGAAACCAUAGUAUACAUGAGAUACUUCUUGGAUGGUCAAUUUUACUUGAUUAUAAGUAACUUGAGAUAAUUUCAUAUUAACAAUGGUAAUAUUAUGUUAGAUUGAUAUAUGAUGUAAUAUAUUCAUAUACAUACAUAUAUUAUGAAAUAGAAAAAAUGCUCAUGUUAGCUUUCAUGAUUAAGCAGAUGACAUCACAGUAAUUUCUAGCUUGUUUUCUCUUUAACACUGGUUCCCACGGGGACACUAUCACUCUCCCCUGAUUUAGCAAUGGCUCUUGAUAGGUGCAGUUUGAGAUGCUCUGUUCCCAACAUCCCCAGGUUGAUCUGAUGAACUGACUCUAACCAAAGGAUCCACCACCUCAUGUAGGAUUUGUCAUUGAGCCCUUGCAACAUGUGAGUAGAAUGUUCACCCAGAGCAGGCCCAGCCUAAAUCUGUUGUCUUUUAGCCACUGUACUUGUUGAAAUCUUUACUAAGCCCCUUGCUUAUCACCUUGAUUCAUUACUUCAUUUUUUUUAUUAAUUUGUUUUUAAUUUUUGGGGGACAGAGUCUCGUUCUGUCACCCAGGCUGGAGUGCAGUGGCACGAUCUUGGCUCACUGCAACCUCGGCCUCCCAGGUUCAAGCCAUUCUCCUGCCUCAGCCUCCCAAGUAGCUGGAAUUACAGGCAUGCACCACCAAACCCAGCUAAAUUUUGUAUUUUUAGUAGAGUUGGGGGUUUCACCAUGUUGGCCAGGCUGGUCUCGAACUCCUAACCUCAAGUGAUCUGCCUGCCUUGGCCUCCCAUAGUGCUGGAAUUAUUACAGGCAUGAGCCACCGCACCCAGCCCAAUCCAUCACUUUAAACUGGUCCUUUUCCCUAAUUCAAGCCACCAUCAUUUCUUCUUGAACUAUUGCCAACAGAUCCCUAACUUUUAUUUCCUUUUCACCCUCGCAUUUCCCCUAUCUCCUUUCCAUACAUCAACAAGAAAGACCCUACUAAAAUAUAAAUGGAUGGUUUCACUCCUGAAAAUGUCCCAUUGCUGUGAGAUAAAAAUGAAACUCCUUCAUACAGCCUCCAAGGCCCUAGGCGGCCUACCUCUGCCUUUCAAAUAUCCUCAGCUCCUCCUGGCUUCCUCCACCCACUAAGCUCCAGCUAGUCUCUCUCUUUAUGAUGCCUUGAACCUGCCAAGUCCCUCCUGCCCCAAGGCCUUUGCAGAGGCUGUGCCCUCUGCCUGGAGACCCCCUCCUAUACUCUUUUCAUGCCUCUUUUUCAUAUUUUAUAGCAUAGCUAAGAAGCUACUUCUUUUCAAAAAAUAUAUUUUUAACAUCAUUUUCAUAGCACUACUUUCAACUCACUGAGAAGAAAUAUGAUCUGUACUAGUUGUGACAUCUAAAUUAUACACAAAUUUUAAUAAAGGCACAUUUUAAAAUAUUUAGUAUACAAAAAAAACUCAAAAACAGUGGUUGUGAAACUUUGUUCCCUGGAGCCCUAAUUCUUCUGAAAAGUCUUCCCAGAUCACUCAGUUUAAAAGAAGUGCCUUUUUCAAUUGUUUUUUUAGAUGGAUUUUUCCAUAUAGCAAUUAGUAGUUGUGGGAUUAGUAUUAUUAUUAGCAGUAGUAGUUGUUGUUGUUAGAUAUUUAAUGUCCAACUUCAUCUCUAGUUUAUAAGCUCCUUGAGGACAAAGAUCAUGUCUAUUCUGCUCAGCAUUGAAUACGCAAUGAUUAGCCUAGGACCUGCCACCUCGAGGGUGCCAAACAUUGUUUUGCUUUAUGAAUAAAUGAGACAAUGAAUGAACUGUCUAUAAAUGCCACUUUGGAUUGCACGGGUUUAGUCAGUGGGACGGCAAUUCUGAUUCCUUUUCUAGAUGAAGUCUGUUUAACCGUGGAAGAACAGCAGUCAAUGGAUAUUUUCUUUGUGUGAGUUUUUUAGGUUACCCAAGCUAUCCUGUUAAACAGGAAUUAUUAGUUUUGAAUUCAGAUUUUAAAUAAUAAGUAAAUAUAGCGUGAAAAUUAAGACUGUGGGCUUCGGAGUUAGCUAGAUUGGAAUAUCAGUCUUGAUUCUGUCACUUACUAGCUGUGUGAGCCAAGCCUCAGCUUUCCUAUGCGUAAAGCAGGACUAAUAAUAGUACACCAGUUACAGGGUUUUUUGAGCAUUAAAUAAAACAGUAUUCCUAAACUACUUAGCACAGCAUUUGGCCUUCAGUAUGUGGUCAAUGAAGAUACACUAUUCUUAUUUUUCUUAUUAGGCUCAGAGCAGUACCUGUUUUUUCAACCAUCGUGCUAGAGACUGCUAACUGCUCCCUAGGAUUUACUUUCUUUCUUUAUUUUAGUUGUAUAAUCAACACCACUAUCCCACCACCCACUGUCAGUACACACACAAAAGUUAGCUGGACACAUUCCCACAUAGUUACAGACUAUAUUUCUCAGGAUUUGCACAUGGACAUAGUCCACGACUCGAAGUUCUUGCCAAUGGAAUGUAAGAACAAGAAAGGUGCAAUUUCUAUGUCACUUGGUUAAAGGCAACUGCUUGUCUUCACUUCUUAUUUAAAAGAGAGACUUAUUCAAGACCAAGUUUCUAUCAUGCAGAGGAGGACAACACCUGAGGGAAUGAGGGAGACACAACGUGAAAGAAAUCUGGGCCCCUCUACGACCUCAAGGAGCAAAGCUGCCCUGCUCUUCUGAGCCGCUCGCCUCUGGACUGCUAUAAAGUAGAGAAAACACUUUAUCUUAUACAAAAGAUUAUAUCUCAGGUUGUCUUGUUAUUGCAAAUGCUGCAAUUUUUAUGGCCUCUUCUUGAGAGUCUUAGGAAAAAAACUGAUUGCAUCAAUAUUAGAAUCACAAUCCUCUCACUCAAAUUCUCUCACACAGUAUGGUGUUAAGGAAUGUGUGAAAAGUGAAAAGUAGUGGCUGUUCUCUGUGAUGUCAGCUUUGGAAAAUGAAAAUAUGCAUCCACUUUACUAUCUCAUCCUAAACCCAUCAGUCAGACACCAGUCCCCACUCUAUCGCAGUAACUACGAGACUUUGGCCAAGUCAUUCUAAUUUCUGAGUCUCAGUUUCCACAUCUUUAAGAAUGGGUAAUGUAUUACCCUGCCAACCUUAUAGACCUAUGAGUAUCAUAUAAAGUAAGCAGUAAACUGGAAUGUGCCAUGCACUGAGGAAUGCUGCUGAUGCUUUUCACCUCAUUCCUUGGCUCCAGUACUCAGCAACUCUGAGGGGGUCUACUCACCAUGUGUCCCAGCUGGGCUGGGGUGGCCCUUCUGGUUAGAGGAAUAGGCAGAUGUUUGUCUCUCAGUAAAGGAGAUCAUCCGUGCUUUGCACACUUGCCUUUCUUCUAGCUAUUUAAGCUUUUUCUGAUGCAGAUGCCACCCUGGAGCAUACCUUACUGUGAGCUUGUGAAGUGGCUCCUAGAACAUAUUUUCCGGCUAAGGUAGAAGAUGUUUCCUAGGGAGGACACCAGAACAGGAGAAAUAAAGUCAUAGAAAAAACAGUUCCUGGACCGGGAACCCAGGCCCAGCCCUGACACUGAGUCUCUCUGCUCCCAUGGACCAGGCACUUUUUCUCUCCAAACCUGUAAUCUAGAAAGUUUCUUUUCUAGUUCUAAAAAUCUGUGAUUCUAGGUACUGUGAAAACAAAAAAUAAGAAAGUAAGGGUAAAGAAAAUGGAGUGGAACGCUAAUAGAUGGGAAUUCAUUCAUUCACUUACUCAUUUAUUCAUUCAUUCUUCCUUUGUAUCUUCUAGCAAGAUGUCAUGGAGCCCCUAUUAAAUGAGAGGCGGGGACUGCUCACUCUCCCAGACAAGGGGGUGAGGAAAAAGGAUCACUAUUUGCUAGCACCAAGUAAAGCCCACCGUUGUCCACUGUGCAGUUAAUUCGGACCAGUGCAGGUAGCCAGAUGACAGACUGAGAGCUGGAUUCACAGGUUCCAUUCACUCAUCUCUAUAUUUCAAUGUGACCCUGAAGCAACAGAGGCUAAAAUAAGAGCAAUAGGAAAAAUCACCCCUGUUUAAAAAUAAAUGAUGAAUACAAACCUCACACCAUAUUGGAUUCCAAAGACCACAGAACUGCCAUGCCAGAACCAAAAAGAUAAGGCAGCAACAUAUACAGGAUAGAGCUUGAACUAGAAAUCUGGGUUGUUGCCCGUGAUCUGUCACCAACUACAACAUUGGUGUAGCUCUGAUCAAGGUACCUUCCAUCUCUGAGUCUUAGUCUCCUGUUCUUUAAAGUCUGGCCUGAGCUUAAACUGGAUUUUCUCCAAGGCCUCUUCCAGGUCUAAUGUUACAUGAUCGGUCGCUGAUAUUAUUCCAUAAGGUAGUAUUCCCUUCUAAAAACAGCAAAACACAAAUUCCUCAAAGCCAAAGGCAACACCUUUGUUUCCUUUGCAUGGCUGAUUAAAUUAAUGCAAACCAAGCAGGCUUUCACCGGAGAGCCUGGGAAAUUGCCGGAUAUUUGGGGAAGAUUACUGAGGUUAGUGCACAGUUGUCUUUGGCUAAGAUGUGCAGUCCUUCAGAGUUUUCUUGGAGUUUUGAUUAAGCAUAAAAUAGAGAAGCUCAAGCUAUGUAGACUCUCUAACCAAAAAUGCUUCUCAAGAAGGGCUCUUUUAUCACUUGCUAUAAGGGAGGUAUAUUUAUUCUUUGAAUCAUUUUUUAUAUCUCCAUUCCAUUCUUUGUGGUCGCAUAAAGCACACACAUCUAUUUACAGCCCUUCAAGGUAAGUACAAUCGUCCCCCUUUUAUAGAUGAGGAAAACAGGACUAACAGACAUGAGCUAAUUGGCCCAAACUGGAAAAUUGAAAUCCAGGUCUUACUGAUUCAAAAGCCUGAGCUUUUCCACAAAAUCAAUGGUUCCCAAGUAAUUCAUUCUAAAACUAAUGCUUGAGACACAUAUGAAUUUGGAGGAACCUUAGGAAUCCCUGUAUUAGCCACACAAAAGAAUAGCAGGGCUUCCUGGGCCCAUGGAAGAAGGUGACAAAGAAUAAAGGUGGAAUAUAAUGUCCGUGCUACAUCACAUAUGACAUGCUCUGACUUAGGACGCUUAAAAUUGGGAGCCUAAUUUUUGGUCUUGCUUCUCUAGCCCAUUAUUUCUAAAAAUAACACAUUUUUACUUUUCUAUAUUUCACAGGAUAUGGCAGAGUCUCCUUGAGAAAAACAAAGCAAAGAUGCUUUGCAAGUAAAUAUAUGCUGAAUGAAUGAAUUACCACAAGUUAUUCAUUCUCUGUUCAUUAAUUAAUGUUGCUUCAUUCAUCAGCUGCAUUGUCCAAUUUACUUUAGCAGACCGGCUGUCAUCAACUCCAGAGAGCUUAUGAAGGGUUGAGAUAAUUAGUCUCAAUACCCUUAAGGAGAAGUGGAGGUACAGUCUUGCUCUCUUGAAGAAUUGCACACUAAGAAACCACAAACCAGCAUCUAAGUGAGUUAUUGACUGAAUAUGAAAUGAUCAGAUUGAUGCAUACUUAAAUGUUGCAACUGCAUAGAUCUAGAAGGGAAUGUGUUUUCCAAAGUAGAUGGGAUGUUCCUUUUGCCAUGCUAAAGAUGUAGGUCUAAUCAGUCUUCUCUCUGAACUCUUAGCGAGAUGGAAAUUCUGCAGCAGGCUGCCUGCCGCCCGAUGUGCCCAGCAGAGCCGGCUUAAAAUGCAGGAAACACCUGUGGUAUAUUCUAAGAGGGCCCCUUCCCCUUAAAAUAAUCUCUUCCCCAUUAGCCUCUGGCAAUACUUGGCAUGCUGCCAUUCAUUUCUUGUGCCGAUAAUGGUUUUUUUCCUGGAAUAGGAGCGAUUGACAUGACAAGAACUGAGAUGGGGCAGUUCUGAUACAACUGACAAAGAAUUAGCAGUACAGAGCAUGAGACCCUGCAUAAAGACAAAUGGGAGAAGCCGAAGCGCAAGGUGUCAGCAGGUUUCGUCUCUUCUGAGGCCUCUCUCCUUGGCUUGCAGAUGGCCUCCUUCUCGCUGUGUCCUCACGUGGCCUUUUUUCUCCAUGUGCGUGCAUCCGUCGUGUCUCUCUUAUUCUUGGAAGAAAAACAUGUGCCUUCUGCUAACUGUCUGGUGUGUCCAGUUCUGAAUGUCAAGACCAAGUCCUGAAAAUGGGUACUGGGGACGACUUAAGAGGUGAGUCAAGGUGGGUCUCACCCACUGGAUCAGAGGGGGCUUCUCCACCACUGGGAGCAAAAACCUGUCUUCUACAGAUGGCAGAGCAGAGAAUGUUCCCCUUUCAAGAAGGCCCACUUAACUUGAUUUUUUUUCUUAAAGCUUUUCAUUCCCUCACUCAGCAUUUGUCAAGCACCUUGUAUGUGUCAAGCUGAUGAUAGGCAUUGAUGCUACACAGAUGGUUAUAACCUGGUCCAGCAAAAUCUCUUGCUGUCUGGUAGGGACCAGGCAAAUACAAAUGGAUGAGUUAAAGUCCUGCAUAAUAGAUACCUCAUUGGAACUAUGAACCAAUGACUCCAGAGAAAGAGCCACACCUGACUGCCUGUCAUCUUCUGACAGAGGAUGUCAUGUUGUAUGCGGUGUGAUCAUCUACCAAGAUCCUAGGACCAAUUAUAUGGCUCAUUGACCUGCACGGGUACCUGGAACUUCAGCUCAAACAUUUACGAUAACCAAGCAUCCAAAAGCUAUGAAAACACAGAACUGGCAGCCAAUCCAUUAAAUCACUCAAACAUCUAUUAACUAGCAAUUGUAUAAAAUUUGCUGGAUUUGAGCACUGUAAGGGUAUAGAAGGGCAAAUGAAGAUCAAUAACAGGAGAGGAAAGAGAAGAGUAAAACAGUUAGCAUCUGUUGAUGGCCAGGCAUCAUAUUAAGUAUUUCAUAUAUAUUAUUUAAUUCUGAAAGGAUCUUUUUGUAAGUUAAGAAGCUGAGGUGACAUGAGUUGCUCAAGUUCACACAGACAGCAAAGGGUGAGCCAUUGCAAUGCAAAGCCCAUGUCCAAUUCCUCACUCCUUGCUACUCUAGCAAGAGUUCUGGGGGUAAGUUUUGUAAGGAGAGAAAGAAAAGAGAGAAAAUCCUUGACAGUAAGUGAAGCAAAAGCCUGGAUAUCUGAAUGGGAGGAGACACCGUUGCAGAGCCCAUCCGUCCUGAUUUUCCCAGAGGCACGGGAGCAGAGCACGUCCCCACCGAACCUAAGCACGCGGAAAGAUGCCCACAGAUUGCUGCAUUUGUAUUUUUACUGAGCCAGCAUUGAGGAAUUCCACAGACACAUAUGUUGUGUACAUACGUGGGCUAUCACUUUUUAGGUGGAUGUACGUGUUAGGAUUAUCGAAAUAAGCAUCCAUUUAAAAGAAUGAUUUGAAUUUGUACCUUUCUGUCAUGAAAAUUCUGUUAAUGGAUGUAAUAAAGUCAGUCACUAUUCUGUGUAAAGCAUGAUGACAUUUUUGGAUCUUGGCAUCAAAUCAGGAAACUCAUUUUAGAAUAGGAUAUACAGGCCAAAAGACUACAGAAAUCUUAUGGUUUCCUCUGGCUAAUCUCUAUCAAGUUCUUACAAAGUGCCAAGACACUAUGGGAAGAACUUUGUACAUGAUUUUACUUCAGCUUCACAGCAAACUCUAAAAGUAGGUAACAUGGAUCAUCCCGAUUUUACAGACGAGAAAAUCAAAGAUCGGAAAGAUUAAGUGACUAGAUCAAGGCCAGCUGUUUCUAUGCACUUUAACAUAUUAGCUCAUUUAAUACUCAUAACACCUCUGUGAGGUAGGUACUAUUAUUGUAAGCAUGCUCUGCAUUUUACAGACAAGGAAACAGAAACACAGAGAAACCCAAGAUCACCCAGCUGCUAAGGCCUUGAGCUGCUCUUUGUCCCUGUGCUGGAUUUGACCCACAGAGCCCAGCUCUUAACUACCAGCCUCUCUCAUCUCUUUGAUAAGCCACAGUUCUCCCCUCCUUGAUGCUACCUCAGAGAGAUAUAUGACUUCCCUGCAGAAUCCAUCUUCAUCCUGUGGGUGUAAAAAGACCCUUGAGCACGUCCCUUGGGUAAUAAAGCAGCUAGCUUCCACAGCUUUUUUUCAGCUACCGCUAAAAUGCUUUUAAAGGAACUACUCAAUAAAUUGGGCUAAUUUCAGUGGUGUUUAUCAUUCUAAUGGGGUGGUGCUCUGGGUAUAAUUAUGUACAAGAUAAACUGUCCAGUAGAGAGAAAAAGAAACUCCUGCACUCACAGCCAAGACAGGGAGAUGAAACUCUGCCCUGAGACUCAUGGGGACCCUUUCAUUCAUUGGUUGUGAGAGACUGCAGGCUUUAAGGACCUCUGCCAAUUCCAUCUCUCCCUACCUCCAACACAUCUGACCAGUGCAGUUCCCCGGGAUUCACUUUCUCCAAAUGGAAUCUAGAUUUCUUCCAGUGCAGUCUCAGGUUUCAUUUGCUUCUGCACAGAAGCCUCUCCGUCUUUGCCUCUGUCUGCAUUCCACUGAACCUCUGCUCACUCCUGCAGAACUGCUCACUGUUAAGCCACAUCGCUGCAUCCUUAAUCUGGCCGCAUGGUCUUUUGAAUCUAAACACAAGACUUGAAGUUUUUGUCUUUUUCUUUCAUUUUUAAUUUGAUAUUGCUAACUUUUACUCAGCUUUACAAAUCUCCAACUUCUGAAUGUUAUUUCUAUCAUUUAUUAUAUGAACAAAUAUUUCCAAGAAUGGAGAAAUCUACAAGUUUGGAAAGCAUGAACUCUUGUCUUCUUCCAAGUCAUUGAUGAAAAGUGUGGAACGUGGAUGCAGCUCUCUGUAAAUUUCCCUUGUGACCUGACUACAGGUUGACUUCAACCUACUGAGACAGUCAAAUUCCCUAUUGGCCAGUCCAGCUUCUGUGACAUGUUUUCAGUGAAUGCUUCCCAGACCCUAGAGACCGUCACUUUCCAGUCUAAAAAUUCAGAAUCACCAAUUCAAUGAUCUAUUCUAAAAUAUAGACAUAAAUUAGUAGUGUUUGUAACUUUUUCUCAUUAUAAAUGGCCUCAGCAUAUUUAAAUAUUUUAUAGAUACUAGAUAUUCUAAUAUUCAAAUGCUUUAUAAUAUUCUAGAAUAUUAAAUAAUAUUUAAUAUUGAAUUCUAGAAUAUUCCAUUUAAUCUAUAGUAUCCCAAAGUCAUCUUUCUCUCCUGUUUUGGAAACUAAAACAUUUGGCCAUAUCCAAUAUUUAAUCCAUUUUUCAUGAUAUUUCAAAGAUUAUAAACAAUUGUCUAAGAUCAUAAAUGAUAAUUCACUUAGUGGUUCAGCAGAGCCAGGAGGUUUGAAUUUAGAAAGUGCCUCGUGUCCUCUUGACUCCGCCUAUUCUCCCAUGGAGGCCACAAGUAGAAAAAUUUGGAAUCUAUUUAUUGCACCAUAGACACACCCGUGAAAACCCCCCUCACUAUCUGUUUGUCAAGAGAUCAGAAAGUUCUAGCUAUUCACUCAAGAUCACAGGACAAAGAACAGGAAAGAUGUCUCCUGAGGUCAGCUGGCAAUAUCAUGUAGUCACGGCAUGUCUCCAACACAUUCUUCAUCUCAGAACCUGAAACCGACUGGCAAAUGAAAAAGGACUGUAAGAUUUUAGAACCUGAAGGAAUUCAGAGAUUAUCUAGAUAGCACCUUCAUCUUGCUGAUAAAAAAAUGAAUCUCACACAAGGAAAGUGGCUUAAUGAGUAUUACAUGUUGUAUCCAUGAUGGAGACAAUUUUAAAACCUCUGUCUUCUGACCCUAGUCCUGGGCUCUUUCCAUUUUACUGGAUUACUUUUCUAAACCCUGAAUGGCAUAUCAGAUGAAACAGUUAUCAAUGGUGCAACGGAUUUGGGCUAAACAAUAACACAAUUUUGAACAAUUUUCUUCAAGAGCACUAUUUAAGUAAGGAACCAGAAAUAGAAGAAAACACAAUUCUCAUAGAUAUUGCUUAGAACGGUCCCUAUACCCUCCUCUCUGACAUUCCCUUCACCCAUCCUAGUUCUUCAACAUAGUAAUAACUGCAAUUCGUGAAGCACUCAUUUUAUGGCAGGUGCUGUUUCAAAGUACUUUAACAUACUAAUUCAUUCAAUACUCACAAAACCUUAUAAAACAGGUACUAGUAUUAUCAUUGUCAUAUUUAUUUUAUAGAUGUGUAAACAGAGUCACAGAAGAGUUCAGUAAUUCCUCUAAAUUUGUAUAGCUGCUAAAGUGAUUUGAACCCAAAGUAGCACUCCAGAAUUUGUGUUCUUCACUGUUAGGCAAAACUCUCUCUCCUGCUCACAUAUGGCUCUUGGGGGACAUCAUCCAGACAGGCAUCUCUAAUCAGGAUAACCACCUCUUUACAACAGCCUGUACCUUCCUUUCCUGCCCUAGUCAAUCUGAUAAACUGAUAUGUGUUAAUGAGCACAAAUGAGCUACCCGUAUGAGUUGAUAUCUUUUUAUCAGGGGACUUCUGGAGACAAUGCCUUUGCAUGAACUUAAUUCAACAAACAUUUUUCAACUACAGGCUCCAUAAAGGAUAUAUUAAAGAUGUUCUCAAGAAAGUCAACUUUGCCCUUCCCAUCACAUGAUGAUAUCAUCUGCCUGGUGUGUGGUGAAUAAUUAAUUACACUGUGCCUGAGACACACAAUAUACCUUGAGGUCACCUCUUCCCUCCUAAUCCUUCAGCUGAAGCAAUUAAAUAUUAAGACAUUGCAGAGCUCAUAGCUUUGUGGUGCCCACAUUGCAGGCACACUACCAAGGGCCUCACAACUUUUAUCCUAUUUAAUCAUCACAGCAAUUUAUUUUACAGAUGAGGAAACAUCGGCUCAGAGAAGCAAUUACAUGCUAUUAAAGAUCUUGCCCAAGAUCUCCAGCUGGAAACUGGCUUAAAAAUGUUAAGAUUCAACACAAGUUUGUUUGGUUCUAUAGCCGUUGUUUUCCUUUUUUUUCCUCUUUUUUUUUUUUAAAUCAUCCUAUGUUCUCUCACAUCUAUUAGCCCAUUUCAGGAUAGAGGUCAUCCAAGAGGGAGUGUGGGAGGUAUUUUGUGGGAGCAGGAUGGGGUUAUACGCUAAAGUCACCAAGCUUUAUUGGAAAUCAACUGGAAUGAAGGCUAGAUUUAGAGAUGGGAGACAUGUAACAUUAUUUGAAACUUCUCCUGCUUGUGAAGUUAGAGGGUUUGGACAAGAUGCUUUCUAAACUGUGAUAUGGCCCUAAGGGCAACAUGUGAGGAGCAGGAGAUAACUAGAGUCAGGACAGGCUCUCUUUGUCCCCAGCCUAACUGGACACCAAAAAGAUGCAGAAAAAAACAUGGGCUAUGUAGAACAUAAGUUGCUAGAAGGUCAAUAUUUCCCAAAUGUUUGAUUUUUGCAAACCACUUAGUGAUUUUCCCAAAUAUGCAUAUCUCUGGGAAAAUAGGCAUCUUUCUGGGCUAUGCAGAGCAUAACUUGCUAGAAGUCCGAUAUUUCCCAAACUUAUGUCCUUUGCAAACCACAUAGUGGUUUUCCCAGAUAUACAUAUCUCCCGUUUUACUUAAUUAAAGGAACAUUUUCUUUUAUUAACAAAUUAUUGAAGUCUAAUAGUCAUGCAGAGAGGUACCCCAAUCACAAAUGUAUUACUUGGUAAAUCUUCAAAAAGUAAACAUUCCUAUGUAACUAUCACCCAGAUCAAGAAAUGAGUACCAGUACCUGAGAAGUCCUUAUUCUACCUCCCUCUAAACACCUCUUUUCUCCUCUUCAAAGGUAAUCACUGUCAUAACUUCAAAAACCACAGACUAGUUUGGCUUCUUAUAGAAAUUUAUUAAAAAUGAAAUUGUAUAUAUGUAUAUCUUUGCAUGCAUAUAUAUAUAUAUAUACACACAUACUUGUAUGUAUACAUAUUUCUGUUUUUAAUAUGUGUAUAUAUGCAUGUGUGUAUAUGUACAUGUAUAUAUGUGUGUUUGUAUAUACACACACAUAUAUACACACACACAUAGAUAUGUAUUAUAUAUAAUAUAGGGUCUCACUAUGUGGUGCAGGCUGGAGUGCAGUGGCCACCGUAAUCAUAGUGCACUGUAGCCUCAAAGCCCUGGCCUCAAAUGAUCGCCCUACCUCAGCUUCCUGAGUAGCUAGGACUACAGGCAUGUGCCACCACACCUGGCUUUUUGAAGUUAGAUAUUAUGUAAUCUUUUGUGCCUGGCUUUUGUGUUUCAACAUAUUGGUAGUCAGAUUUAUCUAAGUUUGUUGCAUGCAGCAGUAAUUCAUUAACUCAUUUGCUGUAGAGUAUUCCAUUGUAUGAAUACACUGCAAUGUAUUCAUUCAUUCUACAGUUGAGAGCAUUUAGAUUGUUUCCAAAAUACUGCUACUACAAACAUUUUUUGCAUAUUUUUUGUGUGGAAGUAUAACAUAUUUCUGUUGAGAAUAUAUUUUGGAAGGGAUUGCUGUGUCAAAGAUAAGUGUAUGUUCAGCUUUAAUAAAUACUGAUAAAAUAGUUUUCUAAAAUGCUGUGCCAAUUUAUAUUCACACCAGUAGUGCAUGACAGUUCCAGUUGCUCUACAUCUUUAUCAACACUUGCUAUUGUCAGUCUUUUUAUUUUUAGCCAUUCUGAUUUGGGUGCAAGUGUAUUGCAUUGUAGUUUUAAUUUGCAUUCCCAUUUUGGCUAUUGAGGUAGAGCAGCUUUAUAUUUAGAUAAUUCUAUUUAGUGAAGUGCUGGUUCAAGUCUUUUGCCCACCCCCUUUUUUUUUGCUGGAUCAUCUUACUUUUUUCUGAUUUAUUUGUAGUAGUUAUUUAUAUGCUCUGGACACAAGCCCUUGGUUUAUAACAUGUAUUGCAAAUAGCUUCUCUCACUUUGGGAAUUACUCUUUCACUUUCUUAAUGGUAGGUACCUUUAUAUAAACAUUUUUAAGUUAAUACAGUCCAGUUUGUCAAUCUUUUUAUGUUUAGUGCUUUCCUUUUAUCCUAAGAAAUAUUCUCUUAUCUCAGGGUCAUAAGUAAAUUUUCCCAAUAUGUUAUAUAUGCUUUAUUAUUUUACCUCUUACAUUUAGGUUUACCAUUCACCUGUAGUUAGUUUCUGUAUAUAGGGUGAGGUAGGAGCAAGAUUCAUAUUUUUUCACGUGGGAUAUAUACUUUACUCAACCCAAUUUAGUUUAAAAAUGUAUCCUUUCCCCUUUCUCUGCAGAGUCAUAAGUGCCCACAUACUAUGUGUUUGCUCUGGAUUCCUUACACUGGUCCAUUAGUCUAUUAGCCUAUUCUUGUGCAAAUGCCACAGUCUCAAUCAAUGUAGCUUCAUAUUGAUUCAGAAUAUCGGGUAGUGAAAGUCACAUAACUUUGCUAUUUUACAAGAUCGACUUGGCUUAACUUGGUGGUUUUCAGAAUAAAUUUAAUAGUAUAAAUUUUAGAAUCGGCUCAUCAAUUUCAUACCUCAAUGCACAUACACAUACAAAAACCUUCCUGUGAUUUUUGUUUGGCAUUGUAAUGAAUGCAUAAAUCAGUUUGGGAAGAACUGACGUAUUUAAGAUAUUGAGUCUUCCAAUUUAUGAACAUGUUGUAUCUCUUAUUUAUCUUCUUUGAUUUCUUUAAAUAAUACUUUGUACUCUUCCAGGUAGAGGUGCUGUACUUCCUUUAUUAAAAUUAUUCUUAGAUACAAAAUGUUUUUAUUCUGUUGAAAUGGCAUAUUUUUAGAUUUAAUUUUCUAAUCAUUUGCUGCUAAUAAAUAAAGCUGAUUUUUGUGUGA